rnacentral:rRNA from 1 species
GUGCCAGCAGCCGCGGUAAUACGUAGGGGGCAAGCGUUGUCCGGAUUUAUUGGGCGUAAAGCGCGUGUAGGCGGCCAGGUAGGUCCGCUGUGAAAACCCGAGGCUCAACCUCGGGACGUCGGCGGAAACCAUCUGGCUAGAGUCCGGAAGAGGAGAGUGGAAUUCCCGGUGUAGCGGUGAAAUGCGCAGAUAUCGGGAAGAACACCCGUGGCGAAGGCGGCUCUCUGGGACGGUACUGACGCUGAGACGCGAAAGCGUGGGGAGCGAACAGGAUUAGAUACCCUGGUAGUCC